CUUAGUUAAGGGCUGAAAGCUUCAAACCUCGGGAAAACCUUUGACGACCAUUUUGGUUACGGGCAAGGAAGAAUUUGUGUGAGCAAGUGUUUAUAAAUUACCCAUACCAACUUUCUGUUUUACCUUCUUAGUAAAAAGGUCUAACUUUUAUUAAAUUUUAUUCACUGUAGUUUUCCCUGAAAAUAGUAACGAGCAAAGAGGACAGACCACUCAAAGAAGAUGUUUAUUGGCAGGCAUCUUAGCUGAGGGCAACACAGUGACCCGUAACCGUCUUAGCUGUGAACAACCAAACUCCGUAAGUCUCAGGAUCCUCAGCUAUGAGUAUCAUCUUUCCUCGGUUAAUUCUUCGCUGUGUUUCCUGCCAGAACUCUUUUUUAUUCCAUUUCGAAUGACUGUCCUUCUCACUGGACCUACUAUGUUGCUCAGGACUCCUACCUCGAUUCAGUCGCGAAGAAGUGAAACUUCAGAGUUUCAGAUCCUGUGGCUUCCAGAGAAGGAUGAAUUCCAAUAUGAAAAAAUAGAGCAUUGCCCCCCACUCGUUAUCGUAAGGUAGAUAAAAGAGUCAUUGGCCUAGAGAAGAAAACACUUGGCAAAAGCAAAAUGAAAACUACCAGAUGAGAAGGAAUCUUAACCAUGUAGAAUCACUGUUGUCAUUCUUCAGAUUCCUGUGACAACAGGAUACACCACUGUAUAACCUUGGGGAUCCCUAAGAAGACAGGUCGAAAUGAAGUAAAGAGGCCUAUACAACGAAAUGAGUCUGGAGAGCUUGCUUCUUCCGUCCCCGUCCCCUGGCAUGCCCACGACUCAAGACUCAAUGAUGGGAGAUCCUGUGAAUCUUCGCUGACUUUGCAUGGAGCUGGUUUCCCGGCUGCGUGACCUGUAGAGAGGAGGGCCAGCGCUUAGAAGGAGUAUCCGUGGAAAGACUCUGCUGUCUUAAAAGUCUCAAUAAUUUUUUAACAACACCUUCAUUUUCAUUAGCACUGGACCCCUCAGAUUAGAUAGCUGGUCCUGUCUUGGACGUACUGCUUUG
rnacentral:lncRNA from 1 species